UUUGGCUGGACAAAUUUUCAUUUAUAACAUUGGCAAGAAGUUGGAAGAGGAUUCAUUCCAUGGGUGUAUCAUACACUACAAACGUAUUCAGAAGGAAGCUGAAUGCAGUUGUCAAGUAUAAAUGUAUGAAUGCACCCACUUGUCAGACCUUCUAGCAAAGCAAUUAGGGGAUAGGGUACCAUUAGACACAUCCAUAUUCUUCAUAACAAAAUAUUAUUCUCUAAAUAAUUUAUUUUUAGCAUCUCUGCUGCAGUAAGUUGAAAAAAAUAGAACAAUUUUGUGGAUAGAGCAUAAUGAGCAUCUCUGCUUAACAGAGCGGAGUUGUGUAAAACCACCCUCAAACUCCCAUUUUUAAGUGUAUGGAUGCUAAACAUUGUCCUGGAGGGGGAAAAAAUGAGAAAUCAAAUUAAGGAAACAUUAAGAACAACUAGAAAAGUAAAAACCUUCUUUUCUUUUAGGCAGGGAUGUGAAUUCUAUGACGAACAAGCCUGAAAUACAGAUUUCAAACUAUUAAUGCUUGUUUAAAUGCUAACCUGAGAGAAGAAGAAAAAGCAUUGUCUGACCCAUGCAACUUCCUAAAAAUGACAACUAUCUCUGAAAGCUUCCCAUGCCAAAUCUAAUUAAAUGGAAAGAGACAUUUGGGGACAGGAACUGGUUGGUCAUCUUCAGCAAAAGGGACCUUUUGGGCUAGAACUGACAAGCAUGGAAAGAAAAAACCAAAACCAACAGCCAGAGGAAGUGGAUGGUAGAUUCUUGCUCUAUGCAAUUUAACAGUAAAGUAAUUGGCUUGUCAUGUGUUGUUAUUAUUUUAUUGUGUUACAGGCUGUCUCUGGUCAGGCUUUGUCUUGUAUUUGUAAGACAAGCAUUCUGAUACCACUAUGUAAAAUGUCAAGUAAUAUAAUUGGGUCCCAGUCCUAUAAGGUCUUCCUUCAGACAGAAGUCACAUGUCAUUGGGAAUUUCAACUGAUUUCCCUACUGGAAGGCUGGAUUAAAGGUCUUCCUACUGCAAAAAUUGAAAAACUCAUAACACUGACACACUCAUCUUGCCAAUCAAAGAGUAAUAAAAAAUAGAAGUGGCUCUGAAACAGAUCAUCCUAAACAGCAAGAAAUCCCUAAAUAAUUAAAAAAAAAAAAUACUUCUAUCCCCCAGCCUAUAAAACUGGUGGCACAUUUCCCUACCAUUAUAGCCACAAAGAUAAGCACUUGAGAACCACUGUGGGUAGACUAUAGCAUAAAAUCACUGGUAUAGAGGAGGAUACUAUCCUUAGAACUACAGCAAGUGCGAGAAGCAGAGGUUUGCUUUUCCCUCUUUGGGAGGCUGCACCAAUCUGUAGCUAGGUAUCUUGACUGAAUUAACUGUUAUACAUAUAUCUAAUUUGCAAAGACAAAGAGGCACGAGAAGAUAAGAAUGGGUGAUCUUGUAGUCGAGGUGAUAUGGCUAUAAAAAUUUAUUCCUAUGCAUAAUGCAUUGCCUUUGCUGCAAUUGGUACUCCCAGCUGAGUUUUGUUCGUAUGAAUGGAUCAGAGAAAGCAUUCUCCCAGUUUGUACAAGGGUGAGUUGAAACACAAAGAACUGUUAAUAUCCAGGUUGAUUUUAUUCCCCACGCCAUUACCAGUUGUUAAAAGGUAUAAUAGGCAUAAAUAACCAUUUCCAGAGAUCACAUGAUGUAGAAAGAAUCUAGAAUUUAUGGAACAGAUGCUUGGGUAUUACCAUCCCGUUACCAACAAAUGGUAGAGGUUAGGAAGAAGCCAGUGGUAGAUGAGUGCAGUGGAACUGAACCUUUUAACUCCAGCCAAGUACCCUUCCUGUCUGGCAGGUGCAUCAAGAGAGCAAUGGAAUAGGUUAAAAGUAGAGAAUUACUGUAACCCAGCUAAUCAGCAGCAGCAGGUUAAGCUAUAGUAACCUAACUUUCAGGCCUGUGUCUGUACACUGGACCGGCUACUUUUUUUCCAUUUUCUACCACCAUCCAUUCAAUGCAGCUCAGGGCUCCUAGAUUCAAACCCAAAAAAACCCGCUUGGGCCCAGGGCAUACAUGUGAAUAUUUACAGAAGUUUUACUAGAGAAAAUGUGUGGGUAGAAAGAACUCAAAUAUUUGUUGGCUGGAGAAACAGGCAGAUUAACACAACCUGUACUGGCACAAUGUUCUGAGUUUGCUGUUUACAUCUCUCUGCCAUGGAAUCCCUUUGGAAGAAGACUUGCUUCUGUGAGGGCUCUCUCUCCAUUGCAUGCUGAUGACUGAUAAUGCAGUCAGCAUAUUGUAAAUGGGAGCUGCUUUCCACUUCAAAGGGACAAACCCUAAUUUGCCAUGGCCCGGGGUCAGACACAAGUUAAAUGAGCCGGAGCAGGACACAGCCACACCCUCCACCGCUGGGUUCGAGCUGCACUCACACACACCCCAAAUCAAUUACUCGGGGCUCUUCUGAAUGAGAUGGGAGAAAAUUACAUCUGAGCUCUGGCCUCGGCCGAUCAAUUCUACAAUAACCUGGUUUUUCUAGGAAUGACACUGCAGGCAAGGCUCGUGUGACCUACAAAGAGAAAGGUCUCAGCUCAGUCUGCUCUCUAGGUCUCCCUUUCUGUUCCCUCUCUGUUUUGCUACUGCCUCCAUCCAUGGAGCUAUCUUGUCACACUCUCCCUACCAGAGCCAUCCAACUGCAAUAAACCACUGAAGCUUAAACACCAAAUAGCCAGUUUUAUUUGCAUCACUUAUGAUCCAUCUACAAAACAAAACUUGCCUUCCUCAUUCACUUAGUAGCCACAUCCAGGAUUUAUCUCCUUCAGCUAUUACAGACCAAGAGAAAGAGUCAGGAAAAGUGAGUUACAGUAUCCAAGACUGCUUCACAUGCAAUAAAAAACAAGAAUUACAAUAACCAGGACCCCACUUGCUCCCCUCCAGAGCUUGGCAGGCCUUGCAAACUCACCAAGUUCCUUGAACAUCCCAUCCUGUGUGGGAGAACACAUAAGAUGUAGGAAAGAAAUGGGAAAUUCCCUUAGGGAAGAAAAAAAAAGUCAGAACUCUAAGCAGCAAAGGCCCUGUAGAAACAUACAUAAUUAUUACGUAAAUCUAUGCCAUUAACAAGUACCAAAAAGGCCAGAAUAUGAGUUUUUUCUUCUUAGUAAUCACAGACAACACUCAGAGCCUUGCAAAUUUUAAGUUCUGUUGGUUUAUUUGAACCGUAAGUAUGGACUCAGGAACACAAAACAAAGAUUACCAAGAAAGCACUAAGAGUCCUAACCAUGUUAAAUCUGUCACUAUAGCUUUGUUGCCUUAUCUAUCCACACUUGUCACAGGGAUGCUGCAGGGAAGCAAGAUUACUAGCAAUGAGCUCCCUUGAAGUUAGGGUGCUAUAGACAAGGAUGUUUUUUCUUGAUUGCUUUUUAGCAUAGUUCAGUCCAGGACUCAAGCCAUGGAAUUGAAAGUCAGCAAUUCCACCAUCUUGUCAUCCCUCUCUCUUUUGCCUUGGGUUCCUCUCUUUCACCUCAGUCGUCUCAGCAAGCUAGUUCUCACUGAAUGCCCCAUGCAUUUCACAGGCCUAUGACUCAUUUCCAGAAAUUAGAUGCAUCAGAGCUCAAAUCUGAUUGACAACUGAUGGACUCUGCCCUCCUGAGUGCCAAAGCCCAGAUUCCAAAAGGCUUUUUAAAUGCCUUAAUAAUAGCUGUAAAAUCUAGUGCACAAAAAGCCAAAUUUAAAGCAAUAUAAAUAAAAACCCACAAGCGAAGCUAAAUAGAUACUGAAAAAAUAAUGUCAUUAUAUUUGUAUCUGUGUAUUCCUAAAUCACAUCAAAAGAUGAAGUCUUCAAUCCUUCGCUUGACAGAAAGCCUUCUGACCUGCUUAAAUAGAGAAGAUUGUCUCUUUUAAAGGCAAUCUCAGUAUCAGCCAGUAUAAAAUAAACUGCAGAACAGGAUCUUCCCUGUAGAAAAAUUGAGAGUUUAAAAGUCUGGGACUACAGCACAGAAAACAAAAGACUACAUUCUUGGCAAUUUCCAUGAGUAUGUCAGACUGCAGCAAAUUAUAUCCUAUAAGCUCUGUGCAACCAUUGACAUAGUAUUUGCAUUAGCUUGUCCUCCUCCUCAUGAGUCAGGGUGCCCGUGCCUCAGAUGUCUACCUAAAACAAUAGAGACCUGCUGUGUGUGCCAGACUGGGGUACAAAUUAACUACUGCACAAUCACAGGGGAUGUUUCCAGGACUCUUACAGCUGGAAAACAAACAAUGAAAUUUGGCCUCACAUUUAUUACGACAUAAAAUGGUUCUCAUUAAAAAGUCAUUGCAUAUCACAGGACCUCACAGCAAUAUCUGAUUUAAAACGAGUCAACCAUCUCUCUUGGAUGUAGAGCACACAGGAGGAUGUGACUUGCUGCAAGGUGCUACCUCUCAAUAAUGAUCUCCACGCCAACACGUAAGACCAUGAAAGCAGCAAACCAACACAAUGUUAACCUCAAAACCCAAAAGCUGAGUCUGCACCUGAACAUACUAGAAACAUAUCAACACAGCAUGAGAAAACUUCUCAAACACAGAUUGCCAUGGGCAUUCACUGAAGAUAUCUGAGUAGAAAACAGCAGUGUUAACAGAUGCACUUGGCUGUCAGGUGGUUGAUGCAUUUUUCCUUCUUAACUCUCUAAACACCAGACCACAUGACAAAGCACCCAGUGAGACCACC
rnacentral:lncRNA from 1 species